GAUAAAAAAUGCAGAUGCACAGGAGUCUUAUGAGAAAGGGGUGAUUGUUCUUGUUACUGGUUGCUUAACUGGGAAGGACAAUGUGAAGAAGAAAUUCUCUCAAACAUUUUUCCUUGCUCCACAAGACAAAGGGUUGAAUGAUGUAUUUAGGUUUGUUGGGGAGAAUGAAUCAUUGCCGAAUGAUUCUUUCUUAAUUAACGGUGUCAAUGAAAAUGCUGUGCCUAUAACCUCGACAACACAAUCAGGUUGGGGUGAUAUUUCAGAAGCAGAUCCCACACAGGAUACUGAUUAUCUUG
rnacentral:misc_RNA from 1 species